rfam:Candida albicans SC5314 chromosome 1 sequence.
GCCUACUUGGCCAAGUGGUAAGGCACUCCACUCGUAUAAUUUAUUUCCAGUGAUGGAGCGAUCGUCGGUUCAAUCCCGACAGUGGGCA